rnacentral:tRNA from 1 species
GUUGUCGUGGGCCGAGUGGGGUAAGGCGAUGAAAUUGAAAUCUUUUGGGAUUUUUCCCCGCGCAGGUUCGAUCCUGCCGACAUCG